rnacentral:lncRNA from 1 species
UGGGCACAUUACUGCCCCCACUCCCACUUCCAAAAUGGAUUCUGUGAAUAAGGAAGACAGGAGAAUGGAUAUCCAAUAGGCAACUAACAAAGUGAAGUGUGAUUACAAUCAAUGAAUAGACUGAAUAUUUUAAUUAAAGUCUAGAAUUGGAGGGCUUAGGUAAGGUGGACUGGAAAACAGGAAGGUUCCACAAAACAGACUUUACUUAAUUUUUUUUUUUUUGAGACAGGGUCUUGCUCUGCUGCUGACACUGGCCUUGAGCUGCUGGUCUCAAGCGAUCCUCCAGCCUCAGCCUCCUGAGUUGGGAUUACAGGCACAAGCCACAGUGCUCGACUUUUUAUUUAAUCUUGUUAGAAGACAAGACAGAAACAUGUCCGUUGUGAAAACAAGGAAGCUGCGGGCAGAUCGAUUGACCCCAGGAGUUCAAGACCAUUCUGGGCAACAUAGCAAGACUCUAUCUCUGAAGACAAAACCAGCCAACCAACCAACCAACCAAUCAACCAACAAAAAAGAUCAAGCAGAGGUGCUCCAGAGGACGCAGCAAUAGAAUUCCGGAGCAAUGUCUGCUUGGCCUCGGUCUUCAUUCCCAUGGUGGCCCCUGAGUUCCGUGGAGCUCACUUCUACAUAGUUCCAUGUGUGACUUCAACAAAAUAAAAUGACGCAUUUAUUGGUUAAAAAUCAGAGAUUACCAUCAGAUAUGGAAAAUUGCUUUUACUUGGUAAUAACAAUCUUACGCACUUUUUACCAAACCCAUCGCAUUAAAUAACUAGCGUUUCAAAUUUUGACACUGCAUAAUAAACCCUCAUUUGAAAUGACUGGAGAAAUACUCAUCAAAUCUCAUGGAAGAAUGACAGAAUUUUCUCCAGAAUUUAUCGGAAAGGAAAAGAGGUUGGACUGUCAGGAAACGUUUUCAGGGUAACAUACUUACUAUUUUCUAGACAGUUACUCAGAUAACACUUGUACGCAGAGGGAAACACACCCCUGGGCUUUGCAAACACUUGUUUCCUGUGUGUCAGACUCGCCUGCAUCCUGUUUAUCAAAUGGAACGGAUAGUUAUUGAAAGCAAAGACCAGAACAACUUACCUCUUGUCAGUCACCUGCUUUUCUUUACUUGUCAUACUUUUAGCAUUUACAAAGUUUUAAAAAUGUGUUUAUCAUUUGGAUCCCUGGGGCAGAUGAUAGGUGAACCCCACAUCCCAGACACAUGGCCACCAAAGAUAUUCUUGCUUUUUUAAUGUUUAUCAAGUUCCUCCGCAGACAACAGAAACCAGAAAGUGAUCCGCUGCCAGCGACAGGGAGACACACAACUGGUCCUUAUUCUAAAGACCCGACCCAGCCUGGAAUGGGGCCCGGCGAGGAGUUCUUGCGCCGGCCGCGGGGACUGGGCGGUAAUGAGCCGCUAGUCUCGGAAGGUGGUGCUGUUGGGUGUGAGGGGAGAUCCGGCUUGCGCUGAAACAGCGAGCGGCGUGCAAGGAGGAAGCCGCGAUUUCCAAGGCGGAUUCCCUUCGCUGGGACACAACUCUUGAGAAUAAGACUUAUAAGGACUCUGAGAGUUUGAGGCAGAGGCAGAACGGCUCUGGGCUGAGUGAUGGGGAGGAUACCAGCACUCAGCGCGGGUGGCGGGCGCGGGGCCGAGCGCGCGCAUCCAGGGACGCCUUGGGGACGGGACGCGGAGAAAAGUUGCCGGGCGGAGAGAAAGGGUGGCGCUGGAAACCAAAUGGCUUUCAUCCCCUGGAGACAAAGAGGUGCCUUCUUUUGACAACAGCUGCCAGUGACACACACACCAUACGGCGGGGCCGGCGGGGGAGGGGAGCCCGGGAGGAGAGCGUCUAAGGCGGGGACCGGCACUGACUUUCAAUAAUGGGGUGGUUGCCAUGGUGACGGGCCAGGCAUCUAAAGGGGCGGCUGAAAGCACCCAUUGUUCUGGGGCCCGGCUGCUCGGGUUGUGCCUGUUCCUAAGAGACACCUUUAGACACCUCCCUCCGUGCAGGGGCGAGCUGCGGCCCGGGGCUGGGAGCGUCUCCGCGGGAGUUUCACACCAGGGCCCCAGGCCGCAGAUCGCAGCGCCGCCUUGGCUGCACGCGCGCUGCAUACGGAGGGCAGCGCCGCCUCCCACGCACUAUCCGCCCGAAAUCCGAGCGCGACGCGCGCCCGCCUGGGCCCAGACGCGCAGGCCGGGACACGCAGCUCCGCCUGCUCCCCGCUGUCCCGGGGAGACUUCGAAUAACAAUGCGGAGCAGGACCCGGUGACUCCACAAAUAACUCGCUGAGGUCUGGGGCGAGGGCACUCGGGAAAACCCCGCAGUCACUUUGCAGUCGUGCUGGAAGGAAAAGCAGAACGGAAUCACAGGAUAAAGAAGAUUAAAAGUAACAGGGCAGCGUUGCAAUGUUGCUUGUAAGAGCAAGCAGCUGGAAACAACCUAAAAGCCCGUCCCUGGGGGCUGGGUGAAUGAUAUGGGGCGCAUCCCUCUGAGGGAACACUAAGCUGCCAUUAAAGAGUACAGGGCAGCUGUAUUUGCUGAGACGUGGAAAUUUUCCGGUGUAUUCUAAGUAAUAAAGUGCAGAAGAGUGUGAGUAGGGCUGUGUGUAUGUGGUAUGUGUGUUUGCAUCUCUGGAAGUGGUUGCUUCUUAGGAUGGUCACUGUGGGACUAGGAGUGGAGGAGAGAAAGAAAACUUGCUUUUCACCGUACUAGAAUCUUCUGCACCUUUUGAAUUUUGCCGUUUAUACUAUGUCUUUACCUGUAAAGAAAAAAGAACUUUGAAAUAAAGUUGCAUUUGCUUGAACACUGUCUAAUGAGAUGUGCCACUCUCCAUAAAGCAUCUGAACUCAUUUUUAGUGCUUUAAUAAAUAUUAAUUUUUAAAAUAUAUAUGCACAAAUGCUAUUAGCCCACAGAUAUGUAAAGGUAGUGACAGUGGCAAGUUAGAGAUGAAAAGAUACACUUCUUUCCUGCCUUCCUGUGGUGCCGAGACGGACGGAGCCAGCUGUCAUUCAAGGAGCCUGCUGUAUAACCCAUCUAUUAUUAUAUCACAUUAAUCAUAGGGAUCUCACAUUAAACAAACAUGACAUUAGGGAAAUUUUCCUAGUUACAAAAUGGUAUAUAAUCAGUGAAAUGGACUAUUGAACACCAAAUGUCAUAGAUUUUUUUUUUUUUUUUGAGACGAGUCAAGCUCUGUUACCCAGGCUGCAGUGCAGUGGUGCGAUCUCGGCUCACUGCAAGCUCCGCCUCCCUGGUUCAAGUGAUUUUGCUGCCUCAGCCUCCG